rnacentral:rRNA from 1 species
GGAUGAACGCUAGCGGGAGGCUUAACACAUGCAAGUCGAGGGGUAACAUUUCUUUCGGGAAGAUGACGACCGGCGCACGGGUGAGUAACGCGUAUGCAACCUACCUUUUACAGGGGAAUAGCCCAGAGAAAUUUGGAUUAAUACCCCAUAGUACUGUCAAUUCGCAUGUUUUGACAGUUAAAGUUUCGGCGGUAAAAGAUGGGCAUGCGUGACAUUAGAUUGUUGGCGGGGUAACGGCCCACCAAGUCAUCCAUGUCUAGGGGUUCUGAGAGGAUGAUCCCCCACACUGGUACUGAGACACGGACCAGACUCCUACGGGAGGCAGCAGUGAGGAAUAUUGGUCAAUGGGCGCAAGCCUGAACCAGCCAUCCCGCGCGAAGGAUGACGGUCCUAUGGAUUGUAAACUUCUUUUAUGUACCAAGAAUGUGCCUUACGUGUAAGGUUUUGACGGUAGUACAUGAAUAAGCAUCGGCUAACUCCGUGCCAGCAGCCGCGGUAAUACGGAGGAUGCGAGCGUUAUCCGGAUUCAUUGGGUUUAAAGGGUGCGUAGGCGGCUUAUUAAGUCAGUGGUGAAAUCCUGCGGCUCAACCGUAGAACUGCCAUUGAAACUGAUAAGCUUGAAUAUAGUUGAGGUAGGCGGAAUGAGUAGUGUAGCGGUGAAAUGCUUAGAGAUUACUCAGAACACCGAUUGCGAAGGCAGCUUACUAAACUAUUAUUGACGCUGAGGCACGAAAGCGUGGGGAGCGAACAGGAUUAGAUACCCUGGUAGUCCACGCCGUAAACGAUGUUCACUCGCUGCUUGCGAUACAUAGUAAGUGGCAAGCGAAAGCAUUAAGUGAACCACCUGGGGAGUACGUCGGCAACGGUGAAACUCAAAGGAAUUGACGGGGGCCCGCACAAGCGGAGGAACAUGUGGUUUAAUUCGAUGAUACGCGAGGAACCUUACCUGGGCUUAAAUGUAGAUUGCAUGAUGUGGAAACACACUUUCCUUCGGGACUAUCUACAAGGUGCUGCAUGGUUGUCGUCAGCUCGUGCCGUGAGGUGUCGGGUUAAGUCCCAUAACGAGCGCAACCCCUAUCGUUAGUUGCCAUCAGGUUAAGCUGGGGACUCUAACGAGACUGCCACCGUAAGGUGAGAGGAAGGUGGGGAUGACGUCAAAUCAGCACGGCCCUUAUGUCCAGGGCUACACACGUGUUACAAUGGCAGGUACAAAGGGCAGCUACACAGUGAUGUGAUGCUAAUCUCGAAAGCCUGUCUCAGUUCGGAUCGGAGUCUGCAGCUCGACUCCGUGAAGUUGGAUUCGCUAGUAAUCGCGUAUCAGCAAUGACGCGGUGAAUACGUUCCCGGGCCUUGUACACACCGCCCGUCAAACCAUGGAAGCUGGGGGGACCUGAAGUCUGUCACCGUAAGGAGCGGCCUAGGGUAAAACCGGUAACUGGGGUUAAGUCGUAACAAGGUA